rnacentral:misc_RNA from 1 species
UAAGCAAUCAGUUAGGCUUUUCUGUGAGGUUCAUAUACGUGGACAAAAGCAAACAAGAAAUCAAGAAAAGAAAGCAAUUACAAUAAGUAAAAUAGUUAUGAAUCAGCAAGGAUCACGUGUGCAAGCUUUGCACUUUGCAAGGUCUAGAUUGUCACCAGAAAAUCACUCAUAUUUUAUUGUUGAGUAGAUUGAAUUUUUUUUUUGAAAUAAG